AUUGAACGCUGGCGGCAGGCUUAACACAUGCAAGUCGAGCGGGGAAGGUUGCUUCGGUAACUGACCUAGCGGCGGACGGGUGAGUAAUGCUUAGGAAUCUGCCUAUUAGUGGGGGACAACAUUCCGAAAGGGAUGCUAAUACCGCAUACGCCCUACGGGGGAAAGCAGGGGAUCUUCGGACCUUGCGCUAAUAGAUGAGCCUAAGUCGGAUUAGCUAGUUGGAGGGGUAAAGGCCUACCAAGGCGACGAUCUGUAGCGGGUCUGAGAGGAUGAUCCGCCACACUGGGACUGAGACACGGCCCAGACUCCUACGGGAGGCAGCAGUGGGGAAUAUUGGACAAUGGGGGGAACCCUGAUCCAGCCAUGCCGCGUGUGUGAAGAAGGCCUUAUGGUUGUAAAGCACUUUAAGCGAGGAGGAGGCUACUGAGAUUAAUACUCUUGGAUAGUGGACGUUACUCGCAGAAUAAGCACCGGCUAACUCUGUGCCAGCAGCCGCAGUAAGAC
rnacentral:rRNA from 1 species